rnacentral:rRNA from 1 species
GGAACGCCAGUUUCCGUGGAGCCACCCUUGAGAUACCACCCUUCGCCUUCUUGAUGUCUAACCGCGGUCCGUCAUCCGGAUCCGGGACCCUGCAUGGUGGGGAGUUUGACUGGGGCGGUCGCCUCCCAAAUCGUAACGGAGGCGCGCGAAGGUGGGCUCAGAGCGGUCGGAAAUCGCUCGUCGAGUGCAAUGGCAUAAGCCCGCCUGACUGCAAGACUGACAAGUCGAGCAGAGACGAAAGUCGGCCAUAGUGAUCCGGUGGUCCCACGUGGGUGGGCCAUCGCUCAACGAAUAAAAGGUACUCUGGGGAUAACAGGCUGAUGAUGCCCAAGCGUCCACAGCGACGGCAUCGUUUGGCACCUCGAUGUCGGCUCAUCUCAUCCUGGGGCUGUAGUAGGUCCCAAGGGUAUGGCUGUUCGCCAUUUAAAGAGGUACGUGAGCUGGGUUUAGAACGUCGUGAGACAGUUCGGUCCCUAUCUUCCGUGGGUGUAGGAUACUUGAGAGGAGUUGACCCUAGUACGAGA